UGGGGUGUGUUUAGACUUUAGUGCAAGAACUACGUACACAUCGGUGGCUUAUGUUUAAUUAGGAGUUCAAAGCUAUUCUCCAUGAUAUCGCUUAUUUAAGUGAAUCUUUUUCUUCUUCAAUUUUGUCCCUAGAUUGGACGAUGUUGUUGCCGAUUCCAUGGCCAAAGUCGGCACUUGUUGCAGCAAACUCUUCUUCCUUCAAUUGAG